CGAACGGGUGAGUAACACGUGGGCAACCUGCCCAAAAGAGGGGGAGUAACACUUGGAAACAGGUGCUAAUACCGCAUAACCAUAGUUACCGCAUGGUAGCUAUGUAAAAGGUGGCUAUGCUACCGCUUUUGGAUGGGCCCGCGGCGCAUUAGCUAGUUGGUGGGGUAAAGGCUUACCAAGGCAAUGAUGCGUAGCCGAACUGAGAGGUUGAUCGGCCACAUUGGGACUGAGACACGGCCCAAACUCCUACGGGAGGCAGCAG
rnacentral:rRNA from 1 species